rnacentral:rRNA from 1 species
AGAAUCAACGCUGGCGGCGUGCCUAACACAUGCAAGUCGAACGAGAAAGUGGAGCAAUCCAUGAGUAAAGUGGCGACCGGGUGAGUAACACGUGACUACCUACCCUUGAGUGGGGGAUAACCUCGGGAAACCGAGGCUAAUACCGCAUAAUAUCGAAAGAUCAAAAGGAGUAAUCCGCUUUUGGAGGGGUCGCGGCUGAUUAGCUAGUUGGUAGGGUAAUGGCCUACCAAGGCGAAGAUCGGUA